CCUCUUCUUCUGCUAUAGGUUAACUCUGUUCCUCUGUGUGGAAUUGCUGCUUCAAUGGAUUAUCUGUACCAGUAACAUUCCUCAAGUCAAAACACUAUAUUCCAAUUUAAUUGUUUUCUCCCUCAGAAGAUCACUUCCAGGCAAAGAGAAGAGAUUGUCAACUCCUUAUUUUCCCCCCCAAGUUACAAGAAAUUUUGUAAGAAGCUUGCUCUCCUAGAAGGCUAGACUCCUCUUGAACAGUACUGAAUUUUUCACAACUCUUGAUCAACAUUAUAACUAUCAUAAAAUAAUCUUUUUAUUCUGGUUAACGGCGUAUGGGUCAGUUGACUGGGAGCAAAUAUAAAUAAACCAAGUCAACCACCUAAUUCUAAAAAAAAAAAGAAAAAAAAAAUCAAUCGCCUAAUUUAUGAACACGUCUCUCAUUCAUCCAAACUCUUGAAAGCUCUCAGAAUCUGGUGAGUAUCUCUAUUGAUUCCAGAAGUAGGGGCUAAAGCUUUGCUCCGAACUCUUGGUUCAGCUACUGAUUGCUUUCAUGUUAUUGCUUAAAUUAGACGAUCCACCUCUGGUAUACCUUAUUGCCAUGAACAAAAUACUUGCCAGAUACCUCCAAAACUAUUAAAUUUCUAAAAUUAGCAAAGUUAUAAAGUUUCCGAAUAACUCCAAAACUUUCUUGCCAUUCUCACCACAAAUCAUCAAAACCCUAAUCUUCCUCAAUGUAUAUGUAAUUGCCUAAUUUUAAUCAUAAUCCUAAAAUUACCAAGUUACAAUAUUCUCAGAACUCCAAGGGUAACUAAAAGCUGGCUUCCACCAUCCUUCAUACUAACUACUCCUGUAUACUAGGAUCAUUAUAAGAACUCUAAAACUUGCCAAUACAAGAAAAAUUAUAAAUAGGAAGGAGGUUGAAAACUUGUCUUUAAUUUUAAGUUCCAGAGUUUGUUGCAGAUUAUGAAGUUCUCUUUACCUUUUUACUGUACAAAAGAUAUAUCAAAUGUAAGACAACUAUAGAUCUGUUCGUGAACAGUAACAAGAAAAAGAUUUUGAGACUCCACCAACUUGUCGACAUGCUGAACAGUCUGGUCAGCAUUAGAAGUUGACUUAAGUUUCAAAAACUUAGUGGAGGAUAAGAUUAAUUCAAGGCAACUUGAAACACAAAGAUGAUAGAGAUAGAUAGAACAAACGGCUGAAGUCAACCCAAAUCCUCAGCAACUUCUUAUUCCAACCACUUGGGAGUUGGCGAAAGAAAAAACAAUUAGAACUAAAAGACAUGAAUUCUAAAUGUCUAAUAAAUAGAGAUCCAACAAUAACAUGUAGUUCUAAUUAGUCCCUGUAAAAGAGCUGAAACUACAAUCAUGCCACAAUUUCCUCUAGGCUCGCAUGUCAUAUGCAAAGAGAAUUGGGUAUAUGAAACCAUGUUGACAAAACCUCUGAUUGACAAGCACAACGCUAUAAUUAUCAUGACAAAGGAACUUGGUAUCUACGAAGUGAGAAAAAAAAUAUCUAAAUUAUCAGUAAUGUCAUAAGAGCCUGAGAUCAUUUCUUCAUGAAUAGAGUUAGAGAGAUUGAAAGAAAAACAAAAUAAAAUCAACCUUUUUUCCCUGAAAAUUCGAUGACGAAGUGCUGCAUUAUCCAGGGUAGGCAAGAAAAUCAUAUAAUUAUGAAAAGCACAAUUGCAGCAUUCUCCACAGAAGAUAGGAAGAAGAGCUUUAGGGGGUCAAGAUCACAAAAUAAGUAGAAGAAUUGUUCCAGAUCUAUUGACAACAACCAACAAAGGCUGAAAUUAAAGAAAACUAAAAUGUGUUGAGGCUUAUCUCCAGCUGGAACAACAUAUACAUUGUAACAGAGAAGCAGCAGGUCCCGUUUCUCAAAACAAUCACUGAGGAAGAACGUGAAGGAGAAAAGACAUAUGUUGGGGGGGGUUCGGCCAGAGAAAAGACUAAGACAGAAAGAGAAGAAAACAAAAACAGUAACCACUACCAAUUUCAGCCUCAAACCUCGAUAGGACUGUACAGUGAAGUUGUAAGAUAUUUUAUCAGAGAAAAUUUGCAGGAGCCGGAAGGAGAUAAAAGAAAAUAGUAUCUAGAAAUGCCAAGGCAGAAACAUGUGCCAAGAGAAAUAUAAAGCGUAAACAAUACAUAGGAAACAAAUCCAGUUUGGAGCACAAGAACUUACAAAAGGUCGCCAUUGCAGGCAGAACACACAUAGUUGAGAAUAAAAUCAGCAAUUCGCAGGCGGAUUCGACCUAAAACUCCUUCAUACGCACGCGAUUUGUGUCAUAUCUGAGCUGAGAAACGAGCAAAAUGUGAGAGGAAAGAGAGAAGAAGAGGUCAAAAUUUGAAGCGAAGAAGAAUAGAUAGAGAGAUAUCUCCUUCUUGCUCUGUGCGUAUGUAUCUAAACUUUCAGUCUCACUCACUCCCAAAUCACGAGUAACCUUCCUCUCUGGUGUAAUAUAACUGGUAAGCCAAUUGGUUUUUCACUUUUGCAUGUGUAGAAAGAGAAUAUAGUACUCUGAAGACUCUCUCUUCCCCCCUCGCUCCAGCCUCCGGUCAAAAUUAAAAUUGAAAGAAGAAGAAGAAGAAGAAUGAAGAAAAAAGUGUCGUGGAAGUAGUAAUUUUCUUCUGUCGAGGCACUGUCCCUGUUCAUCACCCUCGCCAUUAUUAUUACGUUUUUCUCUUACGAAUUUUUUAUCUGUAAAAAUUUUUAAUUUUCUCAAAAGUUAGAUUUUACUGCCAGUCAAUUCAUAUAUAUACAUACAUAUAUAUUAAAUAAGAAUUUUUAUAUUAAUUCUGAUUCAAAAUUUAAUUUUAAAAGAAAAAUAAAAUACAAUGAAACAGAAUUAUAAAAAGUAAAAUUAAUUUCGAAGAAAAUAAUAUUAUUAUGAUGGGGUCAGUCAAGUUGAAAUUUACAAAGUAUAUUUGGGAAUGAAAGAAGAGUUUGUAAUAAGGCCAAAGGAUGCACGUGUACACCUGCGCUCUCACUAUACAUUUAACCAUAUAAUAUAAUAUAAUAUAAGAUAAUAUAUAUAUAUAUAUGUAUGUAUGUAUGUAUUCCCAGAAUGUUAAUGCAA
rnacentral:lncRNA from 1 species